CAAUCAAUCGCCGCACGAGUCAACACGAAGUCCCGACAGCGGCUGAGGCAGCGGCUGCAAAGAGCGCCGGAGCGUAAAAACUUUGCUAUGGACUCUUUUCGGGGGUGGCAAAUGGCUCUUGCGCAGUUUCUCUGAUACGAUUCAAGACGCGUGCGAAUUCAAAUAAAAUUUCAAUAAUUAAGACGCAUUAAAAAUGACAACUCACGAUUGACGAAUAAACAGAGUUGCAAGCAACGAAACUUAUCGAGCUGUGUGAAUGGCACUUGACAAUCGCACGGAAUGACGACAUUAAUUAUCGAAAUCGAGCAAAUACAUUAAAUUGCCUAUAUUGAGAAAAAUGAAAAGAAGCUGAUAAGAUGAGGAUGAGGCAGAGCAGAUCAGGUGCAGUACUUGAUAAGGAAAGGGACCUGGAGGUACACAAAGCCCAGGUAAAACCCGGCACGUGUAUCAAUUGACAAGGCUUCAGGUAGUGCUCAAAUUGAUUUGAUUGGAUUUGUUGUUGCCAAAGAAACAGAGAUAAGUCAGAGAAGCUGACCUGCCAAAUAUUCAUAUAUUUACAUAUAUGUAUAUAUUUUCAUUCCAGGCUACACCUGGAGUUGCGUGUACAUAUGUACUUAUAAAUGUACAUAUGUAUAUGUACAUACAAAGUGGUACAUACAUACAUACACAGUGAUCCACAGCGUAUUUCAAAAGCAAAUAAGCGCAGCUAUCUAUGAGAUCUGAGCUAAGACAUAUCAACAAAAUUAAUCAUAAUUUCUCUUCUGGCAAUCUUUCAACAAAGUAAGGACCUACGCACUGUCAUAUGCAGACACGACUCAUAAAUCCAAAGGGAGAGAGACAAACGCGAUGCACUUUAGGCGCACGCGCAGAUGUUUUUACAGGAUUUUUCAUUAGUGUCAGCACUCGUUGCAUGCAGCUCAAGCGCAUUUGAAUAAAUAAGUGUGCAUGUGCGAGUGUGUGUGUGUGUGUGUGCAUACACCAAACAAAACAUGUCAGGUCCCAAACAUAAUUGAAAAGAAAGAAGGAACGCGCGCGCGCGCGUCUAUAAAUCAACGCGGCAGGAUAAUGCAUCCACGAGUGUUGAGCACUAAUUUUGGCUCGUUGCGGCAUCUGUCCAGGAGCCAAGGCAGCAUCAGGAGGAGGAGGAGCAGCAGCAACAGCAGCAGCAGCAAUAACAAAGCGGCCUCCAUUGAACACAUCGAGUGGCUUCUUCGCUUGAAUGCAAUGCGAGAAAUUUAGAUCCCUUACAAAGAGAGACUGAGCGCGUAAUAUGAGGCAGCCUGGCUAGCGCACCUGGCCGUGAUUUGGAAACAGAGCUGAACACGGCUGAACUACUUAGAGGCAGACGUGGAACAGGUUGACGACUCACGAAGCGAGCCAACAAACCAGCUUCAUAGCGGUCACAGCUGACAACAACCACAUCGCAACAACUACAGCAACUGAGUUGUUGUGCCUCCCUUUUUGGAGACGACACAAAUCAGAUCAACCGUUGCCUGAACCGUGAUGAACCUGCCGCGCAGCGAGCCAGCUCUGGUCCCGUUGUGUGUGCUCUGCGCCGUCUGAUGUUGCAACAGUGCCAGAGUCCACAAGCGGUUGACGACACACGAACCAGCGCGAUUCACAGUUUGCAGCUUCAGCAACGUCAGCAACGUCAGCAGCGUCAGCUCUCCGUCUGCAGGGGAGAGUCGUGGACAGUCGCGCUCCCUUGUCCAUGUGGGGGGCGUGCAUCCAACACACAUAUAUCCGUGCAACCACAGGCCAUGCACGCCGCCGCCGGCGUGUUGCACUUUAAGUUUUUUUUUGGCUUAAACAUUUAGCUCAUUGCAAAUGGCUGACAGGGUAUAUUAGUUCUUUGGAAUGUGUCACAUACUGAAGUAGGUCCAAUCCAUUAGCAAUGAGAAUGAACUGAAAGCAUAUAUCUAUCUCUAUGUCAUUUCCUUAAGAUAAUCGAUCUGUGUGUCCUCAUAUCACAUUGAGCCUGGGAAACAUAGGAGAUAUUUGAACCUAGUCAAGGCAAUGAGACUUCAUCUUAUAUCAAAAAUCAUAAGAUUUAUGCUAAACAUGUCAAACACCAUUCGUAGAGCUCGAGCUCUGGAACAGUUUACACAACUUACAAAUGUUUAUCUCCUUUGUAUAUCCCCUAAAUUACAUACAUUAAGUUUCA